GUUGCGAAAUGCAUGUGACACCUAAUGCAUGAGCCACGCGACAUAAUUAGGUCAGUUUGGAUUUUCCUAUAUAAGGAAUAGCAUAGCCUAUCGCUCAUGGUGACUCAUCUAAUUAAUAUGCUUAGAAGGCAGGUACUUAAAGUUAUUUAUUUAGUUAUUUAUUGUAAACAAAUUUCUACAUAGACUGGCCUACUAUGCUUUCAUCGACAUAGCUAAGAAUGUUGCCUAGCUCUUCCUGUUUUUUUACACUAAAUCAUCAGUCCCAGUUUUAUAGCAGCGACAUGUUUUUCCAGUUCUAAGCACCCAGAGCUUGGGGUUAGGCGGACAAAGUGGUAGGUUGACACAGGCCCUUAAAACCAUGCAUUUACAUUUUACAUUUACAUUUAUUCAUUUAGCAGAUGCUGUUAUCCAAAGCGAUGUACAAAUGCUCUGUAUAUACCAUGCUCUGUAAAUCAAGACCUAAGCAUAAUAAUGAUGUAAAAUGUGUAAUUUUGUUUAAGUGGCACAAUUGUGGGGGUUGGGGGGGGGUCUCGGAUUGAAUCAAGUUUGCUUUAGGGGUCCCUUGCUGAGAAAGGUUGGGAACCCCUGACCUAGAUAAUAGCCUUAUAAAUCCACUGUGAAAAGAGAUUGAUGAUUACCUACUUGUUUGUCAGUUAUACACUUUCAUGUCCAAUAUUUUACUUUCUCAUAUGACUUUCCCCCCCUAUUCAGUGCUGUGACAUACCUCCCUGCUGUCUCUCAGCUCUCCUUUUUCUCCCUCCAUGCCUGUCACCACUGUACUUCAGCCAGCUCUUUAUGUGGGCCUCACACUCACUGGCGCUGAUGUUCUGCGAAGUGGCCGCACCUGAACAGGGAAUCUGAAUUCCUCAGACAGACUUGAUGCUCUCUGCACUGGCUGUUUUUUGGACAGUGCUGGGAGGAGGAGGGUGUCCUGACGCACUUGCGCCUUUAUCUCCUCCAAGGCCCUCAAAAUCAUUUGGUCGCGCUCUGUAGGAGGAGGGUCUCACCAUAUUUCUUCAGCACCCUGACAAAAUACUCCGCACAUGUCUCAUCAGGGUCCUCCGGGUUUUGUACAGCCGCCUUGGCCCUUUGUGUGUUUUUAUAUGGUGGCCAGGAA